rnacentral:lncRNA from 1 species
GGGGUUUAUGGAGGGGCAGGGGAGGAGGCUGGUGUCCCAGCUGCCAAAAUCCCUGAUGGGUCAGGGCAGGGAGCGAGCCGCUGGGGUUGCUCCUGGCCAGAAGGACUUUUCACGAGCUCCUGCUGGCCCUACAGCCCUAUGUGUGUCCUCAGCGCAUGGAUCGAGGCACUGGUAGCAUGGCACUCGGAGCUGAGUCAUGGGCAAGGGAUGAGCCAGCGGCGGAUUUGCAGCUGUGCACUUCUUAACGGAGCAAAAUCACAACCAUCAAUGGGGGUUCGAGCUGGGAAGGGGAUUUUACGUGGGGCAGAGCAUCGCUGCUUUAACUUGGGGGUGCGGGGAGGCAGGGUGAUGGGGACAAAUGGGGACGGCUUAGGGGACAUCCGCCGGGAUGGGUUGGGAGGCAGCAGCGAUGAAUGGCCACGACGAGGAGCACCUGGAGCCUCCAAACCCCAUGGGGUCACAGCUGUGGGUGGUGAGCCCCUAAAUAGGGGAGCAGGGACCCUCCCAGCCCCUCGGCUGCUCUGCACCACCUCCGCCACCCCCGGCUCUCCUGGCCAGCCCGGUGCUGAUGGCUGCUACCAGCUGACAAGGGCAGCCCUGCCCCGCGAGGAUAAAACCGGCCGAGGUGUCCGGGUGCUGUGGAGGGCAGCCUGGGAACGGAGCUGCUGGAGCUGCUGUUGGGCUCUCCCGUGCGUGAGGAUGACGGCACACAGGAGGGGCUGUCAGGGAGAGUGAUGAACAUGGGCGGACGGCAGCUGGUGUGACAAACAGCAUGCCUCCCGAAGGGAAGCCCAGCACGGAGCGAAGACACCCGCUCAGCUCUCAGCUCCGUCCUCAUCCCAGGCUGUGCGAGGGAUGCCUGGAGAAAAGCAUGAAUCAGCCUUUCUCGGAGCACACGGCGUGACGAGCUCCCGGCAGCUCCCCCGUGGGUUUGCCUCGCAGCCCUGCCUGCUGCGGGUGGGUUCUUUACGGGGCUGAUUUCUUUGGGCAUCGCUGGCGAGGCAGAACCACAGCUCCGGCAUCCUCACCGGGGGACGGUUGCGCACCAAAUGCUUUUGCAUCUCUGCAGGCGUUGCAAAGAGCAGGGCUGCAUUCUGUUGCCAUCAGAAGAAAUAAAAAUCAGGGUUUCUUUUUUCCCCUCUUUUCU